UAGUUCGGAUGUAGGCUGCAACUCGCCUACAUGAAGUCGGAAUUGCUAGUAAUCGCGGAUCAGCAUGCCGCGGUGAAUACGUUCCCGGGCCUUGUACACACCGCCCGUCACACCAUGGGAGUCGGUAACACCCGAAGCCUGUAGUCUAACCGCAAGGAGGACGCAGUCGAAGGUGGGAUUGAUGACUGGGGUGAAGUCGUAACAAGGUACC
rnacentral:rRNA from 1 species